UCUCUACUUGCGUAGGCAGUCUUACUAGAGUCCUCAACUGAAUGGUAGCAACUAGUAACAGGGGUUGCGCUCGUUGCAGGACUUAACCUAACACCUCACGGCACGAGCUGACGACAACCAUGCAGCACCUUGAAAAUUGUCCGAAGAAAAGUCUAUUUCUAAACCUGUCAAUUCCCAUUUAAGCCUUGGUAAGGUUCCUCGCGUAUCAUCGAAUUAAACCACAUAAUCCACCGCUUGUGCGGGCCCCCGUCAAUUCCUUUGAGUUUCAUUCUUGCGAACGUACUCCCCAGGUGGAAUGCUUAUCACUUUCGCUUAGUCUCUGAAUCUUAAAGACCCAAAAACGAGUUAGCAUCGUUUACGGCGUGGACUAC
rnacentral:misc_RNA from 1 species